AAUUUGUUUACUAAAUGCUGCUGACACUGCUGCAAAGUCUGAUAUAUUCAAAUAAUUAUUCAAAAAUAUAUAAUUUCCUUGCAGCCAGUGGACCCCCUUCCCAGUGGAGGCCCCUGGGCUUCAGCCCGUGCAUUAAUGUGCCCCUGAAGUCUUUAUUCAUUUCAGUGUUAUUUUUUUAUUUUUAUAUAUAAACCACUGUACAAAACCACACUUCAAGUGUAGAAUAUUAAAAAAUAAUUUCCAAACUUUAGUCAUAUUAACACUCACUGUACUAAAUUGACAUUCAUUUCAGACAUACACUUAAAGUCAGAAAAAGAGCAAAACCAAACACAGUUUGAGUUCCGCUGUGUUUCCUCUUAAAGUUCACAAAAGCUUGAGUUCAUUACAGUCACAUAUACAAAUAUACACACUGAUCAGACAGAUCAAUAAUAUACUGUUAUUUCACAGAAACUUGUAUAAAACAGAAAUCUGGUUUUAAACCAACAACAGAGUUAUAUAUUGAGUAGUUUGAGACACAAGAGAUAGUAGAGUAUGUAGUUUAGUGGAGUUCAAAUAAAGCUUGUGUGUUUCAUGAGCAGCACAUGAAAAGUCAAACAAAACUCAAUAGUUUUGUUUUGCUGAAUCAAUAUUAUAUCACUUGUUCAGGACAAUUAAUGUUGCCAUCAUCAUUUUUGAUGCACAGAAACAUCCUUUUCUGGAACCCAAAAGAUUGUUUUUUGCAAAUUAUUGUCAUUAAGAUGAUGAUGAGGAUGAGGAUGACAGAUAAGCCCACAACUGGAGUGAUGACAGCAUCCAUAGAUCCAUCAUUCUUUGAUCCUUUAUCUUCAAGUACAUCUGCUUUGUGUAAUGAUGACUCUGGAAGAUGAAUUUAUGUUUAAUGUUUUAUGAUAGUGUUAAAGUCAUAAACUCAACUUCAGCCUAUCAACCUGCAGACAGUCAGAUUCUCCACACAGACCUUCACAAAACACUUCUGCUCCUGAGAAUCUGAUCAAACUGAUUUCACAGGUAAAUCUACACAUCUCUAUUCUGAUUGUAAUAUCUCGAGAGAUGCAUUACUAUUUAGAAACCAUGAUCAUGCAACAGUUAGGCCAUACACAUGGCAGUAAAUUGCAGUAAUUUUUUUGAAAUAUAAACAGCAUAUGCCAUACCUGAUAUGUCCACAGUGAAUUCUGUUUGUUUCACUCCACACUUUGUUUGCACAAAGAAGCUGAAUUUUUCUGUCAUUGCUGUAGUUGUAGUGUAGCGGCAUGUGAAGCUGUUACUCUGUUCACAGGAGUCAUUAAGAAGCUCUUGUUCACAGAUGACUGAGUCAGUAGGGUAUCGAAACUUACACAUUUUAAUGGAACAAUCAGGGCACUGCAGUGAGAUGUUGCAGGUGAGAGUUACUUCUUUCCCCACAGAUCCAGUCACAUUCUUACAGCUUACACUGAUAUCUGAAAUAUAACAAUGUAUAUCAUAUAAUACAGCAACUGAACAAUAA
ensembl:lncRNA